UACAGAGGGGGCGAGCGUUAAUCGGAAUUACUGGGCGUAAAGGGCGCGUAGGCGGCCUUCUAAGUCGAACGUGAAAUCCCUGGGCUCAACCCAGGAACUGCGUCCGAUACUGGAAGGCUUGAAUCCGGGAGAGGGAUGCGGAAUUCCAGGUGUAGCGGUGAAAUGCGUAGAUAUCUGGAGGAACACCGGUGGCGAAGGCGGCAUCCUGGACCGGUAUUGACGCUGAGGCGCGAAAGCCAGGGGAGCAAACAGG
rnacentral:rRNA from 1 species